rnacentral:rRNA from 1 species
UGUGACAAUUAUACCUUAUAUGCAACUCUCGCAUGGUCACCCACUGAAGCUAAGCAGGGCUGCGCCCGGUCAGUACCUGGAUUGGAAACCACAUGGGAAAGCUAGGUUGCUGCCGGAA